UACGAAGGGAGCUAGCGUUGUUCGGAAUCACUGGGCGUAAAGCGCACGUAGGCGGCUGUGUCAGUCAGGGGUGAAAUCCCGGAGCUCAACUUCGGAACUGCCCUUGAUACAGCACGUCUUGAGUCCGGAAGAGGUGGGUGGAAUUCCUAGUGUAGAGGUGAAAUUCGUAGAUAUUAGGAAGAACACCGGUGGCGAAGGCGGCCCACUGGUCCGGUACUGACGCUGAGGUGCGAAAGCCAGGGGAGCAAACGGG
rnacentral:rRNA from 1 species